AGAAUGAAUAAAAUGAAUCUGUCAUUUCACGGCAAACUGACAGUAUUUAUUGCUAAUGAUGAAACCCAAGCUCAAGUGAAAAUUAGAAUUUUAGAAACCUUGUGUUCACCACUGUGACCUUGGCAGCUUCCCAAUACUUAAAGACUUCUCUGAUGAGAUCGGUGUUGAUAUUAACUAAUGUGAUUUUUAAAACAUAGUAUACUAAUAUUUGUCAAUAUUUGGAAGACCUGCAUAACUUGGUGAACCAUUUUUUUCCAAACAGCCAGUGCAUUAAGUUAUAACAUCAUGCUUGGGCAAAAGAUAUAUCCAAAAUGCAAAAGAGUCUAAUGUAUUUUAAUGUAAUUGAACAUAAAAAUUUCACUGAUAGGAUUUCAGAUUUUUUUUUUUUUUGAGACUGAGUGCAGUAGCAGAAUCUCCAUUCCACAUACACACUCUUACCAAAUUCACCAUGCGUUAAGCCAGGCUACAGCUCAGAUGCUCACCCUGCACAUGUGUCCCGGAUCCCCUCGGGACCCCUACUUGACCUCCUUUGGCAAUAAACUGGAACAUAAAGUUUCCCCCAGGUGUACUGGGGUAGGUGUGGCCCCAGC
rnacentral:lncRNA from 1 species